rfam:Bradyrhizobium sp. NAS80.1 Bradyrhizobium_NAS_80.1_c5, whole genome shotgun sequence.
GCGCUCGUGGCGGAACUGGUAGACGCGCUGCCUUGAGGUGGCAGUGGGUAACACCGUGGGGGUUCGAGUCCCUCCGAGCGCA